CGGGGGCGGGGUGGCGCAGGAAGAAGGGAGCAGGGUGCGGGGGACGCCGGCCGCGAACGCGCGUGGGGGAGGCACUCCGCAAAGUGGCGAGUCGGUGUGGCCGGGUCCUGGGCGUCGCUUCCCCGAACGCGGUCGGGGUCGGGCGCCCGCGCUGGUCAGGGGAAGGUCCCCGGGCGCUCGGACGGCUGCCGCGCGGGCUUGGUGAAGGAUGGUGAGAGGCCGGCGCGCUGUCCCGGGGGCCCGGCCGCGACCCGGCACUUUUGGAGGGUCAUUGACUCAAAAUGUACUACACUCUGCUUCACGUGGAUUCGAAGAAAAUGGAAGGGAUAUUCAGGACGCAUUUGCCUUCCCUCCUAACCCUGAGCCUUCAUUCACAGAGAUGUUUCUUCGUUUAAUUUCCUUUCCGCUACCAGCCCUGGUUGCCUCCUUUCUAUUGCUUGCAGUGUUUUAAGGCUUAUCACGAGAGAAACAUCACCAAGCCUGGCAGAGUGACAGUCUGCAGAUCCCUGCCCAGCACAUCGUCUGAACCAAGGAAGUCUGAGACCCUUUGGCCAAGAGGAGCCUGAGAAGACGUGGCACCUGGGGUCUGGGACAGGUCCUGAAGUAGUAAAAAAAACACUAGAUAAAAACUAAGAAAACCUGAAUAAAGCCCAGACUCUAGUUAACAACAGUGAGUCCACGUUGGUCUGUUACUUGUAGCAAAUGAACCACAGUGAUGUGACAUGUUGAUAACAGGGGAAGCUAUUGGGUGUGGGCUAUCUUUGUGGUAACUUUGUAAAUCUAAACAGUCCUGAAAUGCUAAGUUUACCCAUGACCUCGGGACAAGGCUCUGUUUGGCCUGCGGGUCUGAAGGAGGGAGCCUGCACCUCACCCCCGAGUCUGGUGUCUGUGGGUUCAGUGGGUAGAGCA